AGGCGCGGAACUGGGCAUGCUCUGUGUCGCCGCAGCUUUGGGUCGCAAGUAGGAAGCCCGUGCACGACACCGGCGGCGCCGAGUGGAGCGCUGCCGCGGCGGCCAGGGCCGCAGGGCCGGCGUGGGAGCGCGAGACCGGGCGGCGGCGAGAGACCCCGACCCGGGCUGUCAACCGCGCGGCGGGGUCCGAGCCGGAGCGGGAACGGACGGGACGCCCGCCGCGCGGCCCGAGGGCGCCCCCAGAGCGGAGCUGCGGCCGGGAGGAGGACGCGGCCAUGGGGCUGCUGUCCCAAGGCUCGCCACUGAGCUGGGAAGAGACCCAGCGCCACGCCGACCACGUGCGGAGGCACGGCAUCCUCCAGUUCCUGCACAUCUACCACGCAGUCAAGGACCGGCACAAGGACGUGCUCAAGUGGGGUGACGAGGUGGAGUACAUGUUGGUGUCCUUCGAUCAUGAAAAUAGGAAAGUCCAGUUGUUACUGAAUGGAGGCGAUGUUCUUGAGACUCUGCAGGAGAAGGGGGAGAGGACAAACCCCAACCAUCCGACCCUCUGGAGACCAGAGUAUGGGAGUUACAUGAUCGAAGGAACGCCUGGCCAGCCCUACGGAGGAACGAUGUCUGAGUUCAACACUGUGGAGGCCAAUAUGAGGAAACGCCGGAAGGAGGCUACUUCUGUACUAGGAGAGCAUCAGGCUCUCUGCACCAUCACUUCAUUCCCCAGACUAGGCUGUCCUGGAUUCACACUGCCAGAACACAGACCCAACCCAGAGGAAGGAGGCGCAUCAAAGUCCCUCUUCUUUCCAGAUGAAGCCAUAAACAAGCACCCCCGCUUCGGUACUCUAACAAGAAACAUCCGGCAUCGGAGAGGAGAAAAGGUUGUCAUCAAUGUGCCAAUAUUCAAGGACAAGAAUACACCAUCUCCAUUUGUAGAAACAUUUCCAGAAGAUGCGGAGGCAUCAAAGGCUUCUCAGCCAGACCAUAUCUACAUGGAUGCCAUGGGAUUCGGGAUGGGCAACUGCUGUCUCCAGGUGACAUUCCAAGCCUGCAGCAUAUCUGAGGCAAGAUACCUUUAUGAUCAGCUGGCCACUAUCUGCCCAAUUGUUAUGGCUUUGAGUGCUGCAUCUCCAUUUUACCGAGGCUACGUGUCAGACAUUGAUUGUCGCUGGGGAGUGAUUUCUGCCUCUGUAGAUGAUAGAACACGGGAGGAGAGAGGCCUGGAGCCUCUGAAGAACAAUCGCUUUAGGAUCAGUAAGUCUCGGUAUGACUCAAUAGAUAGCUACCUGUCUAAGUGUGGGGAGAAGUACAAUGACAUCGACCUGACCAUCGAUAAGGAGAUCUACGAGCAGCUCCUGGAGGAAGUGUGAAGUCUCUAACUUUUCUUAUGAGGCUGCUUGUUCCUAAAGUUUCAAGUUCCAAAUACUUGUGAGAUCUUCUUGACUUUUAGCAAAAGGAACUUGUUGGAGCUCUGUAUCUAGGUCCACACCAGUGCCCAGCAGGCAUUGUGUGAGGAGUGAGUAAACUCCGAGUCUUCCCCAGUGUCCAUAGGAUAAAACCCUGGGCAAGGCAUCGAUCAUCUUCUGGCACAGCACGUUGCUCAUCUCUUUAUUAGAGACCCACUCACCCUUUUUGAAGAGAAAAUACACCUGGAUGAUGCCAACGAGUCUGACCAUUUUGAGAAUAUUCAGUCUACAAACUGGCAGACAAUGAGGUUUAAGCCUCCUCCUCCAAACUCAGAUAUUGGAUGGAGAGUAGAGUUCCGACCAAUGGAGGUGCAGUUAACAGACUUUGAGAACUCUGCCUAUGUGGUAUUCGUGGUACUGCUCACUAGGGUGAUCCUCUCAUACAAACUAGACUUCCUCAUUCCGCUGUCCAAGGUUGACGAGAACAUGAAAGUGGCCCAGAAGCGAGAUGCUGUCUUGCAGGGGAUGUUUUAUUUCAGGAAAGACAUCUGCAAAGGCGGCAACGCUGUGGUGGACGGGUGCAGCAAGGCCCAGAGCAGCUCUGAGCCAGCUGCAGAGGAGUACACCCUGAUGAGCAUAGACACCAUCAUCAAUGGGAAGGAAGGGGUAUUUCCUGGACUCAUCCCCAUUCUGAACUCCUAUCUGGAGAACAUGGAAGUUGAUGUGGACACCCGAUGCAGUAUUCUGAACUACCUAAAGCUAAUUAAGAAGAGAGCAUCUGGAGAACUAAUGACUGUUGCCAGGUGGAUGAGAGAGUUCAUUGCAAACCAUCCUGACUACAAGCAAGACAGUGUAAUAACUGAUGAAAUCAACUAUAGCCUCAUUUGGAAGUGCAACCAAAUUGCAGAUGAGCUGUGUGAAUGUCCAGAGUUACUUGGAUCAGGAUUUAGAAAAGCGAAGUACAGUGGAGGUAAAAGCGACCCUUCAGCCUAGCCUUCAGCCAGCAGAGAGAGAGAGGGUGAUCGCUGUUUAGGAUGGCGUGUGCAGCCCUGACUCCUGGCCCGCUGGGACGCUGGGAAGACCAAGAUGACCUGCAGUGUUUCUGCGCCAGUUGCCUGCAAGUGGCUACUAGAAGCUCCCUUCAGUAGGUAAAUCUGAGUUUGUACAUGUAUAUACUAAAGUAUUUUUAUGAUUAACAGUGUAUUUUAAUAACAUUGUAUCUAAAGUCAUAGUGAACUGGCUUGUACAUUUUGAAUUCUUACUCUGGAGCAACUACUGUCUAAGCAGUUUUGUAAAUGUAAUUGUACAAUAAUACCGGCAUUCCAGAGUUUCAAAUGUUUACUGUAAAUCUUCCUUUAAUACUACCUGGGACCUGAUUCACUGAAAUUUACUUAAAAAAAAAAAAAAGGCUUUCUCACACCUGUUUCUUGAGUCUCCUCUUACUAUGUAGGUAAAGUCACUGGACUGCAUUGAUGCCCUCCGUGGGUGAGGCACCUUACCUGUGAUAUUUCCUUUGCAAAGCAGCCCCACUCUCUUGCCACUGAAUUCUGCUAGCUCUUGAAAAGAAACUACUUUAGGAAUUGUCUAAAUAUACAGACUCAGAGAAUAUUUCAUCUGAAAAGGAAAAUCACUUCCUUCUACAUACACUGAGAGCUUUGUCAAAUGGUGUCCGCUCUUCCAUUACCACCUGCUGUCUGACCCCUGUGCUGAUGAAUAAUCAACUCAGUGCAGCAGCCACGGUUUCCUGCCCUUCUCUAGUUUGCAGGAGCAGAUUGACAGGCUGUCUUCUAACAGCCAUUCAUUUCAUUCCAGACUUUCCCCAGGGAGUAGUCUCCACCCGCUUGCUUUCUCUAUAAAACUCACAAAUCAAUCAUGAAAUGCACUAAUUUUUGUGAAUCAGGACCCUAAAUGUUUAAUUGUAAAUAAUUUGUUUCAUAGAUUGCUUUUAGCUUUGUGUUAUCUUUUUAAUUGUUAACUAAAUUUACUUCUAAAAUAACUACUGUAGAUUAAGCCAAGCUUUACAGAUAUAAAUAUUUACACUGUAAUGGUAAUUUUGAAAGAUUGCAAUAAAGCCGCUUCAUCUUAAAGCUUUCAAUACUAGAAUUGGCUCUAUAUCUCAUUUACUUCAGAAAGUAUUUUUUUCUACAGUUCUCUUAUGUAAAUUAGGUUGUAAAAAGAAUAAAAUGUUUGUGGUCUGAGAAAAUAAAAAAUGGGAUUCCUAUUCAAAGGUA